rnacentral:rRNA from 1 species
GCCCUUUUCCGGUUGAUCCCGCCGGACCCCACUGCUAUCGGGAUAGGACUAAGACAUGCUAGUCGUGUGCCUCAGCCAAAACGAGGCACGGCGCACAGCUCAGUAACACGUGGCUAACCUGCCCUUAGGACGAGAAUAACCCUGGGAAACUGGGGCUA